rnacentral:lncRNA from 1 species
UGAGGGCUGGCCUGUCUGAGGAGGGGCAUUUGCAGUGCUGGAGCAAGCCAUGGAGGACAGGAAUUGCUCCAGUCAGAGGAACAGCAAGGACAAGGGGCCCAAGACGGCAUGUACUAGAGGCUCCACGCAUAGAAAAAGCCAGCCAUCCCCAGCGCUGUAACUGAGUGGCCAGUGGUGGGAGGUGAGGUCACAGACGCGGAGGGGGCAUACAUGGGGUACUGUGUCACGCAAGGUGCUGAGUGCUUUACCUGUGGUGUCUUAUUUGACCUUCACAAGCACCCUGAGAGGAAGUUAAGGAUAUUAUCCUUUUCAGCACUGGUCUUUGUAAUAGUUAAUUUUAUGCAUCAACUUGACUGGAUCACAGUGUGCCCAGAUAUUUGAUCAAACAUUAUUCUGAGUGUUUCCGUGACAAUGUUUUUGGAUACAAUCAACAUUUAUUUAAUUGGUUGAAGACCUGAAUAGAACAAAGAGUUCAAUUCUCUCAAGUAAGAGAAUUCCUCCUGUCUGACUACUUCAGAAUUGGGACAUUGGCUUUUUCCUGCCUCUACACUACAACUACACCAUCAAGCCUUCAGACAUGGAAAGGAACCACACUAUUGGCUCUCCUCGGUCUUCAGCUUGCCAACUCAAUGCAGAUCUUUGCAUUUGUCAGCCUUAUAACCAUGUGAGCUAAUUCCCUAAAAUAAAUGUCCUCAUUUAAAUGU